rnacentral:rRNA from 1 species
UACGUAGGGGGCGAGCGUUGUCCGGAAUUACUGGGCGUAAAGGGCGUGUAGGCGGCCCUGCAAGUCUGGGGUGAAAGCCCACGGCUCAACCGUGGGACUGCCUUGGAAACUGCGGGGCUUGAGGGCAGGAGAGGAGAGCGGAAUUCCCGGUGGAGCGGUGGAAUGCGUAGAGAUCGGGAGGAACACCAGUGGCGAAGGCGGCUCUCUGGCCUGUUCCUGACGCUGAGGCGCGAAAGCGUGGGGAGCAAACGGG